GAUGAAGAACCUAGCGAAAUGCGAUAAGUAAUGUGAAUUGCAGAAUUCAGUGAAUCAUCGAAUCUUUGAACGCACAUUGCGCCCGCCAGUAUUCUGGCGGGCAUGCCUGUUCGAGCGUCAUUUCAACCAUCAAGCCCCAGGCUUGUGUUGGGGACCUGCGGCUGCCGCAGGCCCUGAAAACCAGUGGCGGGCUCGCUGUCACACCGGGCGUAGUAGAUUUUAUCUCGCUCAGGGCGUGCUGCGGGUUCCGGCCGUUAAAAAGCCUUUUUUACCCAAGGUUGACCUCGGAUCAGGUAGGAAGACCCGCUGAACUUAAGCAUAUCAAUAAGCGGAGGA
rnacentral:misc_RNA from 1 species